UACAUAAUGAUAAUCUGUGGAUUUGCAUUUGUUUCAACCUAUUAGCCUUGGAGGAGGGCAAGGGGCCAGAGCUGCCCUUUGCACCAUUUAGCUGGGGCCCUGGAGCAGUGGUGGUGCAGGUUUAAACAACCUUAUUAUGAAACACCGACAGCUUUAGCUAAUAAAACCCUCUCCUGGCCCAACUCUCUCUUCAUUUGGAAAGAACAGGAAGUUGCAAUAGUAUCUCUUUGAGAGAAGCAGGUUGAUAAACCAGGAGGUGGAGACUGGGUAUGUGGAGGGCAAGAAUCAAGUUUAUCUUUAAUCUAGAUAACCAAGAGUCGCAGGCACUCCUUGCACCUGGGCGUUCCUGUGCCCAGAGGCCAGCAGCACCGGACCCCCAACAUACCUGAGGAAUCUAUUCCUCAAGAUCACAUCUGCUCUGCCUAAGCUCCUCCGAGUUCAAAUAUAUCUUCAACUCCCUGCCAUUGGACAUCCCCCGAAUGAGGAAGACACACCUCAAACUCAGGGUGUCUAAAGAGGACUUGUUUCCUUUCCCCAAACCUGGCCUUUCUUGUCCAUUGCUCUAUUUUGGAUGAAGGCUCCAUCAUCGACCUGAGAGACUUUCCUCUGCUCUCUCUCUAUUGUUCCUCAAGUCCAAAUUCUGCAAGUUCAGGCUCAAAUGGGUCCCCUUCUCCCCACCCUUUCUAUACCUUCCCUGGUCCAGGUCUUCAUCUCCUGCCAGUACCAUAGCAACUGUCUCUUGAUUGGUUUUCCCAAAUCUAGUUUAAUCCCUCAAUUCUGUACUUCACAAGGUUGGAGGAUGUAAUUUUUUCCAAAAUGCUACAUUUGCCCUCGGCUUAUGUCGCUUUACCACAUCAACAUCACCAACAGGAUAAUAUAUGAGUUUGGAAACUUUUAAUACCUGCCCCCUGCAACACACACUCACACACACACACUCACACACACACACACACACACACACACCUGGCUUGGGUACUUUCUCCAUCUCAUCUUUUGUCAUCUUCUUAUGAUGUCAAAUUGGCAGAGCCUCCCACCCAAGCCUUGGUGGGGACACACCCCAGUGCCUUUUCUCCUACCGUCUCCUUUUCCUGAUGGCCUCUCUUAACAAGUUUUUGACUGGUUAUCUCCGAAUUAUCCUCCAAAAUGCAGCCCAGCAGUAUCUUUCUCUAGUAACCCUUCCUGAACCUCUCCUCCACCAAGCCGUGUUUAAUGACCCCCCUUAAUGCCUAUGAAUCUCUGCAAGUUGUAUGAUGAUUAGAAAGUCUUUCUCUUCUUGUUUGCUAUUGUUUGAAUUCCCAGAGCUUAGCAGAGUGCUGGGCUCAGAGUAAAUACUUCAUAAAUAUCUGUUGAGUAAGAAAAUAAUAACCUAACUGAAAAUGUACAAAGGACCUGAAUAGACAUUUGCCCCCAAAAGACUAAAGUGGACAACAGGUAUAAGAAGAGACGUUCCCAUCAUCAAUCGUCAGGAAAAUGCAAGUUAAAACCACAAAGAGUGUCACUUUACACCUGUCAGAUGGCUAUUAUCAAAAAGAUAAAUGAAAGCAAAUUUGGGUGAGGAGGUGGAGAAAAGGGAACCCUAAUACACAACUGGUAUGAAUGUAAAUUAAUACAGCCAUGGCGGUAAACAGUAGGGAGAUUCCUCCAAAAAAAGUUCAAAAUGGAACCACUAUAUGAUCCAGAAUUUCCCACUACUGGGUAUGUAUCCAAAGGAAAUGAAAGCAGAAUGUGGACGAUACAGCUUCACUUGCAAGUUCAUUGCACCAUUACUUACAAUAGUAUGAUAUGGAAUCAUUCUAAGUGUUAAAUGAUGGAUCAAUGGAUAGAGGAAAAUGUGGUAUACAUGGGACACAUACUGGAAUACUAUUACUCAGCUUUUAAAAGGAGAAGGAUCCCGCCAUUUGCAACAGUCCGGGAGAACUUGGAGGACAUUGUGUUAUGUGAAAUAAGCUAGGGGUGGAAAGACAAAUACUGCCUGCUCUCUCACACAGGGAAUCUAUGAAAGCCAAAUGCAUAGAAGCCGAGAGUAGAAAGGUGGUUAGUAAGGGCUAGGAGUGGGGACAGGGGAAAGGAUAUGACAUUUCAGCACAGAAGGAGGAAUAAAUGCAAGAGAUCUCUUCUACAUCAUUGGGACUUAUAUCUAAUAACAGGGUAUUCAGUGCUUGCAAAUUGCUGAGAGUAGGGUGGUGUGCCUGCCUGUAAUCUCAGUGACUCAGGAGGGUGAGGCAGGAGGAUCACAAGUUCAAGGCCAGUCUCAGCAACUUAGCAAGACCCUUUCUCAAAAUAAAUAAAUAAAUAAACAUAAAGGGCUGAAGACGUAGCUCAGUGGUAGAGCACAUCCAGAGAUCAAUCCCCAGUACUGCAAAAAAAAAAAGGGGGGGGGGGAAUUGCUGAGAGUAGAUUUUAAAUGUUCUCACUACAAAAAAAAAAAAAGAGUGUGAAGUAAUGCAUAUGCUAGUUAUCUUCAUUUAGCCACUAGACAACAUAUGCAUAUUUCAAAACAUCAUGUUGUACACCAGAGACGUUCAUGAUUUUUAUCAAUUCAAAAAUAAAUAAUUAAAAUGAAAAUAUUGUUGAAUUUAAUGAAUGUAUGAAUACUAGGUAUACCUGUCUACUGGGCUGUAUGACAAAUCUGGCUCAUUCAUUAAAAUACUAUUAUGUUCAGAGUGUCCAGCUGAUGGAUUCAAGGCAGGAGGCAGAAUCCUAGGAGGAGUUAAGUCACAGAGAGCCUACGCCCUAGAAGAACUCACAGUCAAGUAGUGAGACAGGUAUAUAAAACAAAAUUAUAGCAUGAUGUGAUAAGUACUAUAAUAGAGGUAUGCAUAAACUACUAAUGGAAUCUAAAUUAUCCUGCACAUUACUCUGUCAUUUUAAAUAUGUAGCAGAUUGAGUUCAAGAUAAAUGCAUCGAGUAGGCCAUAGGAGACUCCAGACUCCAGGCAAGAGAAGAUAAAGUUUAAAGUAAUCUCCCUGAAUAUAGGAGUCCUGGCUACCAGCACAGAUAACCAUCUUGCCUGGUUAUGGUUUGGACGGCUCAAUGGCCAGUGUUGAAGUCUUGGUCACCAACCUGUGGCACUACUUAGAAGUAGGAAGUGGGACCUUAUGGAAAAAAGGUCAUUGGGGUAGGGGGGAUGCCCUUGAGAAGGAAGUUGGAACCCUGGCUCCUUCCUCCACCAUGCACUCUUGCCACGGUGUACUGUGCAAGCCACAGGUCAAAGUAAUGUGGCCAAGUGAUAAUGGACUUAAACAUCUAUAAGUGUGAGCCAAAAUAAAACUUUCCUCCUUUAAGUUAAUUUUCUCAGGUAUUUUGUCAUAGUGUCAGUAAACUGAAUAACACAGGGGUGAAUUUCCUUAUGUGUAAGGCUUGGGGAAUUUAGAGGAGUGAUCAUUUUGCUGCCCAAAGGUGCCAUAUGAACUGGGCUAAGGGACAGUUGAGCUAGGGCCUCUGAAGAGACUGGAGGGAAGCCCCAAGUCCACACAGAUACCCUGCCACGCCCCUGCAUAACCACAGAACCAGUCACAGUGGAAGGUUCUGGAAGGUGAUGGCCACAGGUAACAAGUGAAUGCUGAGAAGGAAAUGGGGAUGUCGGGGCCCAGAGUCCUGGAGGUCAUGCUGAACAGGUCUGAGGGAGUGCAGUUUCAUUCUGACACAAGGCAGAAGCCUCCCAGCUACUGUACUAAGUAAACAACUACCAAUACAUCCCAAUGACCUUAAGCUUCACGACCAGCUAAGCCAGCAGGACUAGUCCAUACCCACUCACCCUCUUCGACUGCAGAGACCUUCUCGAAUGGUCUAUUCCUCCACAGCCUCAGGAGCUCACUUAACUGGGUCCGUCUUUGGGUAAACAGUCUCACCAUUAAAUUCUCAGAUGAGGGGCUGUCCUCCAGGGGUGUCUGAGACACCUCUGUUCCUCCGCAUCACACAUGGCAAAACUCCCGAUGUUAGUAAGAAUCUCAUGUUGUGUGAAUCAAUCCUGCCAUUGUGCUAUUCUUAGGCAUACCUAGGGGGUCUCUUGGGUUUCCGGAUUAUCAUCUCCCAGCUCCAUCUGCAUUUCCCUAAACCCCGGCUAUCUCUGAAUUAAUAUCACAUUCACUGCCUUCUGAAGCACCCCAAAAGUGUGCACGAGGUCCCGCUGAAGUCCAGGUGCCCGGAGACUAAGAUCUUCCUUCCAGUGGAGUUGAGGGGCUUCCCUGGGAGCCCUGGUCCCCUUGCUGGAAGUGGCUGAGAACUGAGUAAGAAUGAGAUGAUGAACCUAUUUGGGUUAUUUUUGUCACAUUCAAGAGCACUUGUUUUUCUCAGAGGCCACCGUGACUUCCCUGCUUUUUAAAAACUAGAACUUUCAGUGAAGGCCUCUGUCUGAAGUCUGCUGGGUGAGGACAUGUGUGGGUUCCCAGCCACCCAACUAAGUGAACCGGGGCUUGUUUUUUGAGUUGUUGCUGGCUGGAUGGCUAUAUAUCUCUUCAACCACCACAUUGCCCGUGCAUGAGGAAAACCGGUUCCCACCUGCCUUCCUUUUAAUUUCCCACUUGGCUUUUACAGAGGAACGUAGUGUGUGACCAUCUUCUUGGACUCCCUCAGAGAAGCAGAGCUCUCUGUCAGUAUGUUUCAAGCUACCUUAAAAAGGCCAAAGAACUCCUCCUGUUUACAGGCAUGACAUUGAGUCACAUUAUUUAAAGAGUUUAGAUUAAAGGGGGAAAAAAAUGUUGAAGUCUGUUAGUUCAACCUCUUCAUCUUCCAGAUGAGAAAAUUAAAGCUCAGAGAGAUUGUGCAACUUGCCCCAAGUCACAGAGCUAUGAAUGCAGGGCAAACAUCAGAAUGUAGAUUUCUUAACAACCAGGCCUGUGUGUUUUCACUUAUUUUUGAAUUACACUUUUUUUUUUUGUAUCCAAGUUCUAGAAUUUUCAAGUGAAUUUCUUUCGUUUGAAUUAGUUUGGAAGUCACUUGAUUAUGUGAGAUCUGAUGAAAUUGUUAAAGAGAAACUGUCUGCCCAGAAAAACCAUUUUGAGACUGUCAGAUUUCACAUUUUGUACAUCCUAAUAAUCAGAAAUGUGUAAUUUUUUUCUCAUAAUGUAACUCAGACAUUUCAAAAUAGACUUUUAUAUCCAGAAUUAAUCAUUAAAAUUACAAAAAUAUUCUAAACUGGCCAAUCAGCACAUUCCAGUUCCAGGGUUUUGAAACUCUAGUGUGACAUUCAUCAUAAGGACAACAGUCAGUUAAGCUAUGGCUGUUUUGUUUUAGCAGUUUGUACAGAAAAACAUGACUCAUGUAUAGUCAUAUACAUGAAUGGCACUUUGUUGAUUUUCUACCUAAUGCUUCUAUUGUUUGUUGGAGAAGUUGUUGAAGUCACUAAAAAUAAUAACUGUGCAUUAGUCUAUUUCUCCUUUUAGCUUUAUUAGUUUUUGCUGCAUGUUUUUUGAGGCUUAGUUGUUUGGUUCAUACUUGUUAGAAUUGCUAUGUCUUCCUGGUGGAUUAACCAUUUUAGAUAUGUGAUGUGCUUCUUUGUUGCUAGUAAGCUUCUUUGUUCAAAUAAACUAUACUUCAUGUUAUAUACCAAAGCCAUUCUUUUUAAAAAUCAAGACUUAUAUGUAUGAUAUUUCAUCACAUAAUUGUUGCAGAUUUUCUAACAAUUUUUUUGUUUGCUAAAAGGAGGUACCAUUAUAUGAAACAUUUUUUAAUUGUGUCAGUACUAUUACAAAUCAUUUAUUAUUAAAUCUCUUUGAUGAAAGAUUAGGAUGCAUGGGACACGUGUGAAUAUACAUUAAUACAGUGACUACAGUUAUGCUGUAAAAUAUGGUAUUUUUCAUUACUUUUACUGUCAAUCUGUUUUGUUUAAAUUAAAAUGAGUUUCUUGCGUACAGCAUAUAGUUGAAACAUGUUCUUUGUGUUUUGUUUGUCACUGUUCCAAUAUCUGCCUUAUAAUUGGUAUAUUUAGACUAUUUGUAUUUAAGGUAACUGCUGAUAGUUUAAUUCUCUGUCUUUGAAUUAUCUGUUCUACUGCUUCAUGUUUCUUAUAUCUCUGGUCUCACCUUCCUUUGUGCUACUUGAACACUUUUUAGGAUUCCAUCUUGAGUUAUUUAUAGUGUCUUUGUACCUCAUAUAAUUCUCCUAGUGGUUGCUCUGAGUGUGAACAUAUAUACAACCUAUUGCAUUCCCCUGAUCUAAAAUUUGACCACUUCAAGGGAAAUAGACACCUUACUUCUAAGUUAAUUCUCUCACUUUUCCUAUUUUCAAAUACCAUAGCCUUGGCUCUCAGAGCACAAUUUUUCAUAUCUCUCGUUGUGUACAAAGUAUAUUCACACCAAUUCGUGUCUUCAUGCAUGUACUUUGGAUAAUAAUGAUCAUCACAUUCCACCAUCAUUUCUGACCCCAUACCCCCUCCCUUCCCCUCCAACUCCUCUGCCCUAUCUACAGUUCGUCAAUUCCUCCUAUGCUCCCGCUCCCUACCCCAUUAUUAUUAUCCUAUGCUCCCGCUCCCUACCCCAUUAUUAUCUUUAGCUGUUUUUUUAAGGGUAGGUCUGCUAGCAACCCAACCUUUUAGUUUCCUUUCACCUGAGAGUGUCUUCAUUUACCUUUGACUUCUGAAGAACAGUUUCAUAAGAUAAAGGAUUCGUCCUAGGUUCUUCUAGCACUCACUGUAGGCUGAGCCAUUUCCUUCCGGUGGCCAUGGUUUCAAGUGACAAGUGUGCAGCUAUUUACAUCUGUGCUCUCCUACAGUUAAGGUGUCCUUGGGAGGGCUGCUUUCGGAAGUUUGUUUUUAGUUUUCAGAAGUUCAGGUAUGGUGUGCUUAGCCGUAUUUGAACAUUUUUCAGUUUCUUAAAUCUGUAGGUUUAUGUCUUUCACCAGUGGGGAGUUUUUAGUCAUUAUGCUUUUUUUUCCCCCAAAAUACUCUUUGAGCCUCACUCUUUUUCUAUUCUAUUGUGGGACUCCAAUGGUAUGAUUUUUUUCCCCUCUUUUUUUCUUUCUCCAUAGUCCUCCAUUGUCUUGCUGUUGUUGUGUGGGGUUUUUUUUUAGUCUAUUCUCUCUCUGAUUUGAUUCUUUGAUUCUGUGCUCUGUGUUUCUAUCCUGCUACGGUGAAGUUUUUAUUUCUGUCAAUAUAUUUUUUAAGUUUUUUUCUCAUAAUGUAACUUCUCUUCUAAUUCCCAUUGGGUCUUUUUUUUAAUAAGUUCUAUUUCCUCAAUGAUCUUUUCCAUUUUUCAAUUGUUUCAAGAGAUUCAUAAUGGCUCAUUGAGCUUUAGUUGUAUAAUAACUGCCUUGAAGUCUUCAUCGGAUAAGUCUAGCAUUCAACUCAUCUGUGUGGUGUUCACUGAUUGCCCUUUUUGUUGUUGUUCUCAUUCCAGAUGUUAUUUUCAGCUGGGCAAGGUGGCUCAUGCCUGAAAUCCUAGCAACUCUGGAGUCUGAGGCAGGAGGAUCCCAAUCUCAAGGCUAGCCUUAGCAAUUAAGUGAGACCCUGUCUCAAAAUAAAAUAAAAAGAUCCAGGGUGUGACUCAGUGGUAGAGUAUUCCUGGGUUACAUCUCUGGUACCUAAUAAUCAUAAUAAUGUGAUGUUUCCUCAUUCUUGACAUGACAGCUGCUUUUUUAUUACAUUCUGGACACGUUGGCUAUCGUCUUAGGAGACUCGGUGUUAUAUUUGAAUCUUGUAGUUAUCCUGCACAGGGAUCCUGACCUGACUUCUGUAGGUCAAUGUUCGGAUGAUCAUUUAAUUUUCUGAGCCUUUUUGCUAUACUGUUUUGAUCUGCUUGACUUAUAAAGUGUCCCUGGGGCCCCUGGUGUGACAACCAAAACAGUCUCCGGAAAUUAUCAAAAAUCCCCUGGGGAGAAAAAUCACUCCUAGUUGUGAUCCAGUAGAAUUCAGCUUUCACAGCUUGCGACAGGCCACGCCUCCGCAGAGAGGUAAGAUUCUCCUGCAAGGCUCAGGGGUGGACCUUGGGAUCUUCUCCUGUGUUUUCAGGCAUUAGCCCCCUUCCCUGGGGAGAGGAAAAGGCUUUCUCUGCCUCCUCCUCCUCCAUCUGCCCACACUUGAACUCAAUGAGGAUGCUGAUAAGUGGAUCCUAUCAGAGGGCAGGAUUGGAUUUCCUGCAAAAUCCACCUCAGAUUAAUCCAGCCCUUGACACACAAAUGGCUUUUAUUAAGGACUUGCAGCUCUCAACUUUCAAAGUGGAAUCUUUCUAGAAUCAAAUACAUAUACUUACAUUCAGCAGUAAGAUAUGCUGCCAGAGAUCAUUAUCAGAUACAUCCUUUAUUGCUUUUUAGUUGGUUCUCUUCUUAUUUGUAUAUUGCUGAAAUGACAUCACAUGACCUUUCGCAAGAUUUUGCUUUUCUGCCUGGAAACAUGGGGUAGUGUUUCAUAAAAACAAGGAACAGGUCGCAGGGCUAAUAAAAAAAAAUCCCCUUAUCUUGAAAAACAAAAACAAGUUUAAAAAAAAAACUGCCCGAUGGUUCACUGCAGAGUUGUUUUGGUUAAUCAUUUACUGCCCAGUGAAUAAAAAAAACACGCCAUCCUGAAACUGUGCGAAAAGAGGAGGAAGCCUUACAGAUCACUUGUUUACGAAAAGGUCUCACAUGCUUUUUCUGCCUUCCUCGGAUUCUGUGUUAUUGCAUUUUAAUUAUUCAUCUGGAAUGGCUACACAUGCCUCGGUUGGUCAGGGCUUGCGGAUGCUCACUAAGCAUCCCCCCCCCCCCGUCUCUCUAGAGUGCUUAUGGUGUUUUGGGCUAAUCAAAGUGAUCUCAAUUUGUUUUAUGAGUACCCAAAAUAUAUUAGAUAAAAUAAAAACAGCCCUUCUUUCUU